ACUGGAAUUACAAAACUCUCUCCAUUGUGAUGUCAUUCAACAAAAAAUUAUUGACUACCUGCUAUAUAUGGACAAUGUUCCAGAUUCUGGAGCUAUGGCAGCAAAGGGAUUCUGCUGAUAGUCUAAGGAGGGCGUUUAGCUCAGGAAGGCAGUGGCAAUAUUCUGUGAUCUUUGUUGUUGAAGAAAUGAACAUAAAAUGCUCAGGCCACGCAGAGGACGCACACCAACUCCAAUCAGUAUUGGGCUCCCCACAGGGGUUGGCGAGGACCUUAACACUGUGCAGUCUAACUCUUCACUUACGUUACAUCUACAUAACUGAAAACCCAGUGGUGAGAUCUGUGACAUCAAAAGGCCUAAAACUUCCUCUGUGUAUUGAGGUUCACUCUGCUUAUUUGAAAGGCAACUGGGAGAACUCGGGGCCAAUUUUGUUGACUGUUGUCAAAGCGUGAAUGAAUGAGAGAUAACAUAGGAAAGACAAAGGAGAAAG